GUCUCCCUAGAGUGUGCGCCAGUUGGCAAUGUCCCAGAGCCGAUUCAUGCAAAACAGGGGAUUACAAAUUUAGGUCGGUGUGCAUGUCUGCUUGCGGAAAGCCUAAAGACCUAACGUAAUCUCCGCCUUGGACUUUCGGGUUCAAGGGCUACGUCGACAGCGGCACAUCCGGGGAGUCU
rnacentral:other from 1 species